rnacentral:rRNA from 1 species
UUAGAGUUUGAUCCUGGCUCAGGAUGAACGCUAGCGGCAGGCUUAACACAUGCAAGUCGAGGGGCAGCGAGAUCAGUGCUUGCACUGAUUGUCGGCGACCGGCGCACGGGUGCGUAACGCGUAUGCAACCUACCCAUUACAGGGGGAUAACACUGAGAAAUCGGUACUAAUACCCCCAUAACAUCCAGGGAGGCAUCUUCUUGGGUUGAAAACUCCGGUGGUAAUGGAUGGGCAUGCGUUGUAUUAGUUAGUUGGUGGGGUAACGGCUCACCAAGACAACGAUACAUAGGGGGACUGAGAGGUUAACCCCCCACAUUGGUACUGAGGCACGGACCAAACUCCUACGGGAGGCAGCAGUGAGGAAUAUUGGUCAAUGGACGCAAGUCUGAACCAGCCAUGCCGCGUGCAGGAAGACGGCUCUAUGAGUUGUAAACUGCUUUUGUACGAGGGUAAACGCAGAUACGCGUAUCUGUCUGAAAGUAUCGUACGAAUAAGGAUCGGCUAACUCCGUGCCAGCAGCCGCGGUAAUACGGAGGAUUCAAGCGUUAUCCGGAUUUAUUGGGUUUAAAGGGUGCGUAGGCGGUCGGAUAAGUUAGAGGUGAAAUCCCGGGGCUCAACUUCGGAAUUGCCUCUGAUACUGUUCGGCUAGAGAGUAGUUGCGGUAGGCGGAAUGUAUGGUGUAGCGGUGAAAUGCUUAGAGAUCAUACAGAACACCGAUUGCGAAGGCAGCUUACCAAGCUACUUCUGACGUUGAGGCACGAAAGCGUGGGGAGCAAACAGGAUUAGAUACCCUGGUAGUCCACGCAGUAAACGAUGAUAACUCGUUGUCGGCGAUACAGUGUCGGUGACUAAGCGAAAGCGAUAAGUUAUCCACCUGGGGAGUACGUUCGCAAGAAUGAAACUCAAAGGAAUUGACGGGGGCCCGCACAAGCGGAGGAACAUGUGGUUUAAUUCGAUGAUACGCGAGGAACCUUACCCGGGCUUGAAAGUUAGUGACGGAUCUUGAAAGAGGUCUUCCCUUCGGGGCACGAAACUAGGUGCUGCAUGGUUGUCGUCAGCUCGUGCCGUGAGGUGUCGGGUUAAGUCCCAUAACGAGCGCAACCCCUACCGUUAGUUGCCAGCAGGUCAAGCUGGGCACUCUGACGGGACUGCCGGUGUAAGCCGAGAGGAAGGUGGGGAUGACGUCAAAUCAGCACGGCCCUUACGUCCGGGGCUACACACGUGUUACAAUGGCAGGUACAGAGGGCAGCUACCCAGCGAUGGGAUGCGAAUCUCGAAAGCCUGUCUCAGUUCGGAUUGGAGGCUGAAACCCGCCUCCAUGAAGUUGGAUUCGCUAGUAAUCGCGCAUCAGCCAUGGCGCGGUGAAUACGUUCCCGGGCCUUGCACACACCGCCCGUCAAG